rnacentral:rRNA from 1 species
UACGUAGGGUGCAAGCGUUAAUCGGAAUACUGGGCGUAAAGCGUGCGCAGGCGGUGAUGUAAGACAGAUGUGAAAUCCCCGGGCUCAACCUGGGAACUGCAUUUGUGACUGCAUCGCUGGAGUGCGGCAGAGGGGGAUGGAAUUCCGCGUGUAGCAGUGAAAUGCGUAGAUAUGCGGAGGAACACCGAUGGCGGAAGGCAAUCCCUGGGCCUGCACUGACGCUCAUGCACGAAAGCGUGGGGAGC